UGUUUGUUUCCCGGCUCGCCUCGUGGGACGCCCGCAGACAGACAGCCUUGCCAGAUUCAUUUUCUGAUCAAAGCUGUUUGAUUUGGUCAAUUUUGCCACAUUGGAGACGUUCUCUAUUACUGAGAUAAAUAGCCUCGGGCUAACUGUCAACGAAAACUUGUAAGCUAAUAAAUUAUUCCAAUUUCUUCCAGCUGGAUUUCUCUUGGGAGUCGGCCUCUAGGAAAUACACUUUUUGAUUAGUACAUUUCUGCGUGUGUGUGUUUGGGAGCGCAUGUGUGUGCGCCUGGACAUUGGGAUAUGUCGUUUCUGAUUAGCGGGCGGGCUGCCGGAGUGGAAGGCGGCAGAGGGGGCUGUCAGUAGAAGGAGGCCUCUAAUGCAUUAUGCAUCGACAGACUUUGGAUGCUGCCACCUUCGCUGGCACACCGGGGAGAGGAGGCAGAGCCGGUUCACCUGAGGGGCCUUCGUCCUCCUCCUCCUCCUCGAUGGACUCCUGGGAGGAGGAGGAAACUUUGACAGAAGCCAGUUGUCUCUGACUGCUGCCCCCAGUGCAGGGAGCGGCUGCUGCAGCAUUCAGGGGGAAGGUCAUCUUUGGACACGGACAUCUAUUCUCCCCCUCUAAUACCAGACACAGGCAUUUAUAACUGUCUUGCUGGUGACCCGUUAGCGGAUUAUGGAUGUCCCCCUCGGGCAGUGAUUUGUUUAAUCCGUGGAAAUGGUCCUGGUGCUAUGUAAACAAGCCAAGUGCGGAAUGAAGGUGGCCACCCGAGCGUAGCGGGGAGGCCCUAUUUGUCAGGGAGCCUUCAUAAAACACGGGGACGCUGUGUCGGAGAAGUGAUGUCUUCAUUUCACACAGAGGGCAAAAAGGCUAAAAGACUAUUCCAGAGAUUUUCACCAGCAGAGGGAUUUUUUUUUUUAUCAUUUAUAAGAGCUGCUGCAGAGAAAUUAAGCUACUCGCAGUCCUGGAAGCGGUUUGGAGUUAAUUUCCUGGUUCGAACAUUUCUACAUUACGUUAAGUAGAAAACAAUCGCAGAGCAAAUUGGAUGAUUCUCUAUUUGUGUUUUCUAAAUAGUGAAUAAAUUGAGUUUAUUAGCAUUCCA